AAAUUACCACUAUGUAGUUGCACCAAACGUUAUUCGCCUGGACAGUGAAGAAACAUUCCUGGUUGGCAUAUUAGGCAGUAACCGAGCUCGACGACUUGAUAUAUAGUUCGAGUAUCUAGAGCAACAAUUGCUGCGGAAGUCAGUCACGAUAUCAAACCCGGAAACCCCAGUUCUGGUCACUUUUAAAGUCACCGCAAAUGACCUCUUCGCAAAUGUAGAAGAUGAAAGUAAAACACGAAAUAAGCCGAAAACAAUCCGGCUUGUAUGUCAAGAAUCCUAUAACAAGAAGAGCCAGGAUAUUUCUCUCAGUUUCAACUCCGGAUAUCUGAUCGUGCAGACUGAUAAGCCAUUGUACAACCCAACGC